CCCCAUACAAUAUAAUAUUUGCACCAACACCUAUACCAAUAUUAACAACACCAAUUUUCCAAUUACCUAUAAUACAUUAAAAUAUACCCAGCAACCAAAAAUUGCAUUGCCUUAUUUCCAGUACAUCCACAUACUCCAAACGCGUGUACCCACCCUCAUCGCUUUCUUCUUCAAUUUCUCGAACAACAUCAUACACAAUCCCAAUGGUAAUAUCUUCCCUCUCUCUAUCUAUGAAAUCCUGAGAUUUUAUAGAGCCUUCAAUUAUUGAUUUUGGAUUAGAAAAAUCUUUUUCAAAUUUAGUCUGAAUCAAACGCCAUCAAAAUUAAAUUCGAAUUAUUGGAAAUGUGUUUUCAUCUCCUUUGACUUUUAUAAAAUCUGGUACUUUUCUCUUUCUCAAAGGGCUCAUUUCAAAUCGACUAUUUGUUUUGCUAUAAAUAUCGGCACUUGUUUUCACUGAGGGAAAAAAAACCAUUUGUUUUGAAAAUACAGAGUGUUCAAUAAUCAUUUAAAUUUUUUUAGAUUGAGAGCUUGAUUUUUGGUGGUGAGAACAAUGUUUUUACAAAAUUAAACCCACGAAGGUAUGAGCCAGAGAUCUAAAAAUUUUUUUAGUUCUUUGCUUGUCUGUUUUCUGAUGAUGAGGAGUUCAUCGCCUUCAAGCUUGUUGUCUCGGUGCGCUGCCCACAAAAGGUCUAGUUGCAGGGUCAGUUGUGGUUCGUAGGUAAAGACGAAGGUGAUCCUCCAACAGCUUCUAUUUUUUUCUUAUCUUGGUGGAAGCUGGGUCAUUGGUCUUUUACUUUACUUCUACUCUUAGUAGCUCUUGUACCUAUUUAGAUUAGUAUCCUUGGGGUUUUUGUAUGAUUGAAUAAAGUGAUCUUUAAUAAA